rnacentral:rRNA from 1 species
UAGUUAAACUGCUAGGCUCGAGACCGUUAGGGGUAACUGGAAUUUCUAGUGUAGGAGUGAAAUCCGUAGAUAUUAGAAGGAACACCGAUAGCGUAGGCAGGUUACUGGGACGGUUCUGACACUAAGGCACGAAAGCGUAGGGAGCAAACGGGAUUAGAUACCCCGGUAGUCUACGCCGUAAACGAUGGAUACUAGCAGUUUUGGGUAUCGACCCCCAGAGUUGCGAAGCUAACGCGUUAAGUAUCCCACCUGUGUAGUACGAUCGCAAGAUUAAAACAUAAAGGAAUUGACGGGGACCCGCACAAGCGGUGGAGCGUGAUCUUUAAUUCGAUGGUAAACGAUAAACCUUACCAAGGCUUGACAUCCGAGGAAGGCUCUCGAAAGAGAACUGUGCCUUCGGGAACCUCGAGACAGGUGAUGCAUGGCCGUCGUCAGCUCGUGUCGUGAGAUGUUUGGUUAAGUCCAUCAACGAGCGCAACCCUUGCAACCAGUUGGAUUUUUCUGGUAGGACUGCCCCGGUAACGGGGAGGAAGGAGGGGAUGAUGUCAGGUCAGUAUUUCCCUUACGCCUUGGGCUAGAAUCGCGCUACAAUGGCCGGUACAAUGCGAAGCAAAACAGUGAUGCGAAGCAAAUCGCACCAAAGCCGGUCCCAGUUCGGAUAGAAGGCUGAAACUCGCCUUCUUGAAGUCGGAAUCGCUAGUAAUCGCAGAUCAGCAUGUUGCGGUGAAUACGUUCCCGGGUCUUGUACACACCGCCCGUCAAACCAUGAGAGUCACCAACACCCAAAGUCCGCUUCGGCGGCCUAAGGUGGGGGAGAUGAUUGGGGUUAAGUCGUAACAAGGUAACCA